UGUUUUUGUUUUUGUUUUUUUUUAGGUAAUGUUUGGGGAAAUAUUCGAAGAUAGGACCAUGGCCUAAUGUGACAGAUGGCCUCUAAGAGCGGAAGACACAGAAGCCCAGGCUUUGGUGCUUUUCAGGCCUGACCCAACCACGUGCUCAGGUGUCCUUGAGAAAGUUAGCAAACGGCUCGAAGUUACGGUGUCCUUAUGUGCAUAAGAGCACCCCAAGUUCAUGGGUUUGUUGACAAGAUUGAGUGCGAUCAGGGAUGUAGAAUGCCUAGUACCACACCCGGCACAGAGAGUCCAACAGAAGUGAAUGAUAAUUGGACUAUGGUGCCGAAUCCACACGCUGGUUGGUGCCCUUUUGCCAGAGAACCCUGAAAUUCAUGAAGAUUUAGCUGCACUUUCACACAAGGCAGCGGGACAGAGCGGAUUGAACGUGAGUUGCCCAGAACUGUAGUUAAUAUAUCCUUCCUUCACGUGUGAGCUCUGCUAGCGGGUCUACCGCCAUCAAGCAAUGGCUUCUUUGAGCUCGUCCCUCUCUGAGGGUUAUUUGAGGACUGAAUGAGACAACAUAAUUAAACCGCUCUGCUCACAGUAGACUCUCAGUGAGUGUGGCUUUCCUCCCUACACUUUUCAUGCUUACGAGCAGGCAUAGCUUUGAAACGCCCAUGAUUGAAGAAGCUCUUUUAUGUGUUUGCUUCCUACCAUCUUUUUAAUGAAUGCUUCUAAUAAGUCAAAAAAUAAAAAAAAAAAAUCAUUUCCAUUACCCUUUUGUGAAGGAUACAAAGAAGAAAGAAACGUUGACAUUGAUGAUUUUAUGAGCAAUAACAUUUAAUGAAGACCGUUUAAGGUGUUGGGGCAUCUAGCUGAAGAACUUGGAUGACGAUUCUUGCCUGAAAACUAUAUUUGAUUAAUGAUAAGAAGAAAGAGUAUAGACAGUAAGUCCUGCAUGAGUUCGCGAAACCAGUUUGGCUAGCUUAUGAUGGGGGAAUGUUGGAAGAUAAGGCUAGAAGUUUGAAAGUCUGAGUGAGGCCAGAUUAUGGAUAACUCAGGAAUUUGGACUUUAUCCUGUUGCCAGUUAAUAGGAAACCAUAGGUGGUUUCUGUGCAGGAAGCUGACACAGUCAGAGAUCGGUUUAAGAUUAUUAAUCUUGUAGCAGAAUAGGAUGACUUGGAUGUAGAAAAGCAACCACAGCAGGAGAAUAGCCUGCAGGACUAUUGCAGUAAUCAUGGGAUAGGUGAUAAGAGCCGGAACCAGGCAGCGAAGAUGAAAAAGAUGCAGAAAUAAUUUUAUCGAUGACCUCAAAUCUCCUUUUUUUAAAAACAAGAAUUAAAAUAUUACAUUUAUUAUUGGGAAAUUAUGAUAAAAUAUGUGAAUUCUUCACAAAGCAAGAACACUGUCAGAGAUCAAACAUAUUAAGAAAACUAAUGAGAUAUGAUAAAAUUAUAAUUUUCAUUGACAUUCUGCAUUCUUUAGUGAAUGAGGAAAUAGAUGGUCAUCCAGAACAAGUCAAAACUUUUUUAAUAAACAUCCAUGUAACAUGAUUUACCUGAUAAUUCUUAGCCAGCUCUUACAAAAGAAUUAUUUUAGUUGGAUUGGGUUCUGAAUAUGGAGAAAGCGUGGAGGUCACAUAUGGUUCCAUUUCAUAAAUUCUAGGUUAUAGGAAGUUCACAUAUUGCAAAGGAAAGACUUAGAAGCUCUGAACAGAGCAACUAAAUUGAUUUGUGAUACAACUGUCAUUGGUGCUGAAUUAACAACUGACACAGGCAAACUAUCAUAUCAUUAUGAAAGAAUGCAAAAAUCCUGAGUCUAUAUCAGAAAUAUGACAUUCACUCUUUAGAAGAACCUCAAGCUUAGCCAAAUUGAUGUGGUUUAAGUUAAUAUCUAACUUAGCUAGUUCCUUUCUUCCUUUAGUUCAUUGCAAAGCUUUGUCUGUAUCAGAUAGUGUUCUCUCUCUCUCUCUUAUCAGUUUUGCAAUCCAAGAAUACCAUUCUUAGCCUUUGAGUAAGUUCUCAGUCAUCUAUGGAAGCCAGAGUUCAAAAGCUUUAGUACGUCAUGAAAUUCCAUCUUUCUUCCCCUAAUAUAGCCCAGUGAUUCUAAACCUUUCUCUCUGCUCUAACCACUGUCAUAAUAAAUUCAGAGAUCACAAUCAGUCCAGAGAAGUAGCUCAUCUACUGGAGGAAAAGUUCUCGGCAUUACAGACAUCUUCAUUUGAGAGCGGGAAUGAUGCAGCCACAGUCCCUUUCUUCCUGGGGACGGAAAUUGAGGAUAAAGUUGCCAUGUGUGACGCGGCCCCAGCAUUAACUACCGCUGUCAGAGGCCGUUCCACAGUGAACGUGGCGUGAUUGCUCUCUGCCUUUCUGUCCUUCCAUCUCACACUGAUACCUGAUCGGUCUGUGCCAGCACCGACCUAGAGAAGCAAGUCCAAGAUCCUUUUCAAGACUUUCAACCACGGCCAGGGUACGCCUGACCACUCGCUGCCUGCAAGCCCCUGGCGAUCCUCUCGUUGGCUCUUGGAAUUCUCUCCCUCUCUGCGUCGCUUUCCGUGAGCAGGUAACUGCCCUCCUGCCUUUCCACGGCACUUUGACGGUGUCUUUUAUACGUCGCAUCAAGCCCUAAUUAUCUGUUUGCCCUUCAGUCCCCCUCCUGGACUCAGACCUCCUCCACGGCGAUUCCUUCACCCUUACGUCUCUACUGCAUCCAGUAGCGCUGACGCAAGAGCCACUCGAAAUGAAAAACUCGGAAAGUAAGACAGUGAGAGAGACUUUCUGCACCUUGAUAUUUUUCAUUUUCACCAUGUUUAUGGAAAACUUCAUGAAGAAAACAGAAUAAAGGAAGGAGAGGAAAAAAAGCCAGGAACGAGUACGGAAUAAGGCUGAAUCUUGCCUAAUAAAGCUUGGUGGUUGAGAACCACACCUGAUGUGGCACCUCGCCCAGCAUUCUAGAGGAGGCUUUGCCAGAAACUCCAAGAAGACAGUUGGGAAAGGAGGGAGAGAGGGAGAGUAAGGGGAGGUAGCUGAAAUU